rfam:Stereum hirsutum FP-91666 SS1 unplaced genomic scaffold STEHIscaffold_9, whole genome shotgun sequence.
UGCCCCAUGGCUGAGUUGGUUACAGCGUCCGACUGUUAUGUUCUUUCUCUCGCGAGAGCAGUUAACAUCGGAAGGUCGUGAGUUCGAGCCUCACUGGGGCAG